rnacentral:rRNA from 1 species
GACGAACGCUGGCGGCGUGCUUAACACAUGCAAGUCGAACGGUAAGGCCCUUCGGGGUACACGAGUGGCGAACGGGUGAGUAACACGUGGGUGAUCUGCCCUGCACUUCGGGAUAAGCCUGGGAAACUGGGUCUAAUACCGGAUAGGACUCCGGACUGCAUGGUCUGGGGUGGAAAGCUUUUGCGGUGUGGGAUGGGCCUGCGGCCUAUCAGCUUGUUGGUGGGGUGAUGGCCUACCAAGGCGCCGAAGGGUAGCCGGCCUGAGAGGGUGACCGGCCACACUGGGACUGAGAUACGGCCCAGACUCCUACGGGAGGCAGCAGUGGGGAAUAUUGCACAAUGGGCGCAAGCCUGAUGCAGCGACGCCGCGUGAGGGAUGACGGCCUUCGGGUUGUAAACCUCUUUCAGCAUCGACGAAGCGAAAGUGACGGUAGGUGCAGAAGAAGGACCGGCCAACUACGUGCCAGCCGCCGCGGUAA